rnacentral:rRNA from 1 species
GGUGGACGCUGGCGGCGUGCUUAAGACAUGCAAGUCGAACGCAGUCUUCGGACUGAGUGGCGCACGGGUGAGUAACACGUAACUGACCUACCCCCAAGUCGCGGAUAACUGGCCGAAAGGUCAGCUAAUACGUGAUGUGAUGUCCCCUUUCUGGGGGGCCAUUAAAGGUUUACUGCUUGGGGAUGGGGUUGCGUUCCAUCAGCUAGUUGGCGGGGUAAAGGCCCACCAAGGCAACGACGGAUAGCCGGCCUGAGAGGGUGGCCGGCCACAGGGGAAGUGAGACACGGGUCCCACUCCUACGGGAGGCAGCAGUUAGGAAUCUUCCACAAUGGGCGAAAGCCUGAUGGAGCGACGCCGCGUGAGGGAUGAAGGUUCUCGGAUCGUAAACCUCUGAAUCAGGGUCGAAAGACGCGUAAGCGGGAUGACGGUACCUGAGUAAUAGCACCGGCUAACUCCGUGCCAGCAGCCGCCGUAA